GAAGAAAUGGCACAAGAACAAGUUUUGAUGAGUUUCUGAUGGAUUUGAAGCAGCCCAAACGGAAGAAUAUCAGACAAGAACGCAAAAAGAUUACUGCUCAAAAUUUGAAAAUGAAGCGACUUCGUGGAGAUGAAAUAAAGCCACUGGGAUACCUUCUAUAAAUUCUACCGUAACACAACUGAUAAUCACUGGGGUAGACCAUACUUGACAAGGGAAUUCUUUCACCUCUUGGGAGAAAAGAUGGGGGACAAUGUGAUGCUUUUGUUGCUGAACAUGAUGAUAAACUUGUUGCUGGAGCUCUUAACCUUAUUGGAGGUGAUACACUGUUUGGUCGCUUAUGGGGAUGCCUGCCAGAUGUUUAUUUCCCCAAUUUGCAUUUUGAAGCUUGCUAUUAUCAG